rnacentral:tRNA from 1 species
GCGGGAGUAGCUCAGUGGUAGAGUUCCAGCCUUCCAAGCUGGCUGUCGCGGGUUCAAAUCCCGUCUCCCGCUCCA